rnacentral:lncRNA from 1 species
AUACGCGGGGCCCAAGCCCACUAAAUAAAGGAUAACCCAAGAACAUGGAGAGGGGUAAAAUGGUCAUUUCUACAAAGGGAGAGGGGUGUGCUUAUCCUCAUAAGGGGCGGCAUUAGUAAUUUUUUUUCCUCCACAUGUAAAGAACUCAUUUGUCACGUGAUUCCUAAGGCUUUCUAGAAGCCAAGCUCCUUUAGCACAUGUUGAUUAGUUGGC